UUGGAGGAAAGCAGGGGAUCGCAAGACCCUGCGCUUUUGGAGUGGCCGAUGCCUGAUUAGCUAGUUGGUGGGGUAAUGGCCUACCAAGGCGACGAUCAGUAGUUGGUCUGAGAGGACGACCAGCCACACUGGGACUGAGACACGGCCCAGACUCCUACGGGAGGCAGCAGUGGGGAAUUUUGGACAAUGGGCGAAAGCCUGAUCCAGCAAUGCCGCGUGAGUGAAGAAGGCCUUCGGGUUGUAAAGCUCUUUCAGUCGAGAAGAAAAGGUUGUGACUAAUAAUCACAACUCAUGACGGUAUCGACAGAAGAAGCACCGGCUAACUACGUGCCAGCAGCCGCGGUAGUACGUAGGGUGCGAGCGUUAAUCGGAAUUACUGGGCGUAAAGGGUGCGCAGGCGGCUUUGUAAGUCAGAUGUGA
rnacentral:rRNA from 1 species